rnacentral:rRNA from 1 species
UACGUAGGAGGCAAGCGUUGUCCGGAAUUACUGGGCGUAAAGCGCGUGUAGGUGGUGGGACAAGUCUGCUGUGAAAGUGCCUGGCUUAACCGGGCGAGGUCGGCGGGAAACUGUCCGACUCGAGGACGGGUAGAGGGGGUGGAAUUCCCGGUGUAGUGGUGAAAUGCGUAGAGAUCGGGAGGAACGACCUGUGGCGAAGGGCGG